AUUGAACGCUGGCGGCAGGCCUAACACAUGCAAGUCGAGCGGAUGAAGAGAGCUUGCUCUCUGAUUUAGCGGCGGACGGGUGAGUAAUGCCUAGGAAUCUGCCUGGUAGUGGGGGAUAACGUUCCGAAAGGAACGCUAAUACCGCAUACGUCCUACGGGAGAAAGCAGGGGACCUUCGGGCCUUGCGCUAUCAGAUGAGCCUAGGUCGGAUUAGCUAGUUAGUGAGGCAAUGGCUCACCAAGGCUACGAUCCGUAACUGGUCUGAGAGGAUGAUCAGUCACACUGGAACUGAGACACGGUCCAGACUCCUACGGGAGGCAGCAGUGGGGAAUAUUGGACAAUGGGCGAAAGCCUGAUCCAGCCAUGCCGCGUGUGUGAAGAAGGUCUUCGGAUUGUAAAGCACUUUAAGUUGGGAGGAAGGGCAGUAAGUUAAUACCUUGCUGUUUUGACGUUACCGACAGAAUAAGCACCGGCUAACUUCGUGCCAGCCGCCGCAGUAAAAC
rnacentral:rRNA from 1 species